UACGGAGGGUGCAAGCGUUAAUCGGAUUUACUGGGCGUAAAGCGUGCGUAGGCGGCAUGUUAAGUCAGAUGUGAAAUCCCAGGGCUCAACCUGGGAACUGCAUCUCAUACUGCCAGGCUAGAGUAUGAUAGAGGGAAGUGGAAUUCCAGGUGUAGCGGUGAAAUGCGUAGAUAUCUGGAGGAACAUCAGUGGCGAAGGCGACUUCCUGGAUCAAUACUGACGCUGAGGUGCGAAAGCGUGGGGAGCAAACAGGAUUAGAUACCCGCGUAGUCC
rnacentral:rRNA from 1 species